rnacentral:rRNA from 1 species
UACGUAGGGGGCAAGCGUUGUCCGGAAUUAUUGGGCGUAAAGAGCGUGUAGGCGGCCAGAUAAGUCCGCUGUGAAAACUCGAGGCUCAACUUCGAGCUGUCGGUGGAAACUAUUUGGCUAGAGUCCGGAAGAGGAGAGUGGAAUUCCUGGUGUAGCGGUGAAAUGCGCAGAUAUCAGGAAGAACACCCGUGGCGAAGGCGGCUCUCUGGUACGGAACUGACGCUGAGACGCGAAAGCGUGGGGAGCGAACAGG